rnacentral:sRNA from 1 species
GCCAGGCACGGUGGCACAUGCCUGUAAUCCCAGUGGCUCAGGAGGCUGAGGCAGGAGGAUUGCAAGUUCAAAGCCAGCCUCAGCAAAAGUGAGGCACUAAGCAAAUUAGUGAGACCCUGUCUCUA